rnacentral:rRNA from 1 species
ACGGGUGAGUAACACGUGGGUGAUCUGCCCUGCACUUCGGGAUAAGCCUGGGAAACUGGGUCUAAUACCGGAUAUGACCUCCUAUCGCAUGGUGGGUGGUGGAAAGAUUUAUCGGUGCAGGAUGGGCCCGCGGCCUAUCAGCUUGUUGGUGGGGUAAUGGCCUACCAAGGCGACGACGGGCAGCCGACCUGAGAGGGUGACCGGCCACACUGGGACUGAGACACGGCCCAGACUCCCACGGGAGGCAGCAGUGGGGAAUAUUGCACAAUGGGCGAAAGCCUGAUGCAGCGACGCCGCGUGAGGGAUGACGGCCUUCGGGUUGUAAACCUCUUUCAGCAGGGACGAAGCGCAAGUGACGGUACCUGCAGAAGAAGCGCCGGCUAACUACGUGCCAGCAGCCGCGGUAAUACGUAGGGUGCAAGCGUUGUCCGGAAUUACUGGGCGUAAAGAGUUCGUAGGCGGUUUGUCGCGUCGUUUGUGAAAACCAGCAGCUCAACUGCUGGCUUGCAGGCGAUACGGGCAGACUUGAGUACUGCAGGGGAGACUGGAAUUCCUGGUGUAGCGGUGAAAUGCGCAGA